rnacentral:rRNA from 1 species
AUUGAACGCUGGCGGCAUGCCUUACACAUGCAAGUCGAACGGCAGCACGGGAGCUUGCUCCUGGUGGCGAGUGGCGAACGGGUGAGUAAUACAUCGGAACGUACCCUGAAGUGGGGGAUAACGUAGCGAAAGUUACGCUAAUACCGCAUAUUCUGUGAGCAGGAAAGCAGGGGAUCGCAAGACCUUGCGCUGAUUGAGCGGCCGAUAUCAGAUUAGCUAGUUGGUGGGUAAAGGCCUACCAAGGCGACGAUCCGUAGCGGGUCUGAGAGGAUGAUCCGCCACACUGGGACUGAGACACGGCCCAGACUCCUACGGGAGGCAGCAGUGGGGAAUUUUGGACAAUGGGCGAAAGCCUGAUCCAGCCAUGCCGCGUGAGUGAAGAAGGCCUCGGUUUAAGUACGUCUUUCUAGUACCGGAAGGAAAUACGACGCACGGAGUAA